UAAUUUAAACCUCUUAUGCCUUCAACUAGCUUUUUCCGGGGCCUCACAACAACAAACUCUGCUGCUUCUACCAGAAUGACGAGUUCUCUGGGGACCCACCCUCGUAUCUGCUCAUUAGGAGGAGGUCCUGAGCAUAUUGUGAAGGAAAGAAGUUGCAAAAUUUCAUGUUUUCGUUAUACAGAUGUAGAAUCUUCUUGGAAAGAAUUGUUUCCUUCAAAAAUUCAGAAGUUUAAUAGCUGCCGCCACCUAAAUACUCGAAAAUGUUGGUCAAUUUUUUCUGCUGCAACCGGUGAUGCAAAUGAUCCGGAUGACUCAGAAGAUAGUAAGAAUCCUCCAGAAAAUGAAAAUGAAUCUGUAAAUAGUGAAAUUUUAAGGGGCAAUCUUGAAAGAAUUGUCGGGCGGGAUGACUCUGCAUUUAGUGGAAUAGAUCUUGCAGCUCUGAUAAGGAAUAAAUAUGGAAGGUCCUAUGAUGUUCAAUUGAUUAAGAAGGAAUUCAUGGGGAAAAAUCUUCUCGCGUUAAAUGUUAUGUGGAAAUACAGGGAGCAGCGAUCUUUUCCGUUAACUGAAGAAGAGUACCUACUGAGGCUAGAUGAUGUGGCAAACACAUUGAAAUGUUGGGGAGCUGUUUCACAUAUUCGUAAUAGCCUUGAGAAGUUGAAAGAGCGGCCUCGGAUAGGGAAGGCAGUGAGCAUUUUCAUCGAUAUGGAUGAAUCCGGAGGCCGUGCAAAUGAAUGGAUUUACAAGUAGACCAGAACAUUGUAGCUCCUCAAUGUUGAUAGUUAGCAAUACAUAGGUAGAUAUAUAGUACAAAAAAGUUGAAGAAACACUUGUAUUCUUUAUUAAUUACUAUUUCAUUGUGCAGACACAAUUUUUUAUAUUGUUUCCAUUUGAUGGCAAUAACCCCCUUUUGCAAACA